AGCAGCAGCACAACACAAAUCCCUUAUGGCCAAAUCAUGUCUUUAAAGGGCAAUACAUCCCAGGGGCCAUAGUCACAUGGCAGGAGGCUGGCAAUCAGUCUUCUCCAAUGCCCAGUGGCGAGGUCGGUUUCGCCACAAACUCUAUGAAGGAAAACCUGGCAUAUAAUGCAUUGUUGCAUUACUAUAUGACCAUGUGUUGCAAAAUGACUAUAAAAGCAUCCAUUUUAAUAACUACACCCGUAUACAUUGUAAUAUGGAUACUUUAGCUUACACAUUCUUAUGACAGCACAAGCACUUUGCAUUGUAGUGAUUUUAUAUCCAGAUAUGAUAAUUUAG